GGACCCGUAGCAUAGCAUGGAUAGUGCGGGCGAUUCCGGAUCGCCAGGCCGGGGGAUCGAAGCCCUCCGGGUCCU
rnacentral:tRNA from 2 species